GAAAGAGGCACGACAGCAAUGAGUAACUGCUAAUUAUCAUUCCCUUGGUUAAAGUCCGAGGCUCUUUUG
rnacentral:tRNA from 1 species